GUGGAUUGCACUAGAAGUCCGCAGGCUAACCGCAAGGGAGCAGCGGCCCAAGGUGUGAUUCAUGAUUGGGGUGAAGUCGUAACAAGGUAGCCGUAGGUGAACCUGCAGAAGGAUCA
rnacentral:rRNA from 1 species